ACACUCCUACGGGAGGCAGCAGUGGGGAAUAUCGCACAAUGGGCGCAAGCCUGAUGCAGCCAUGCCGCGUGUAUGAAGAAGGCCUUCGGGUUGUAAAGUACUUUCAGCGGGGAGGAAGGCGAUAAGGUUAAUAACCUUGUCGAUUGACGUUACCCGCAGAAGAAGCACCGGCUAACUCCGUGCCAGCAGCCGCGGUAAUACGGAGGGUGCAAGCGUUAAUCGGAAUUACUGGGCGUAAAGCGCACGCAGGCGGUCUGUCAAGUCGGAUGUGAAAUCCCCGGGCUCAACCUGGGAACUGCAUUCGAAACUGGCAGGCUAGAGUCUUGUAGAGGGGGGUAGAAUUCCAGGUGUAGCGGUGAAAUGCGUAGAGAUCUGGAGGAAUACCGGUGGCGAAGGCGGCCCCCUGGACAAAGACUGACGCUCAGGUGCGAAAGCGUGGGGAGCAAACAGGAUUAGAUACCCCAGUAGUCCC
rnacentral:rRNA from 1 species